UACGGAGGGUGCAAGCGUUAUCCGGAUUCACUGGGUUUAAAGGGUGCGUAGGUGGGUCUGUAAGUCAGUGGUGAAAUCUCCAUGCUUAACUUGGAAACUGCCGUUGAUACUAUAGACCUUGAAUGCUGUGGAGGUGAGCGGAAUAUGUCAUGUAGCGGUGAAAUGCUUAGAUAUGACAUAGAACACCAAUUGCGAAGGCAGCUCACUACCCAGAUAUUGACACUGAGGCACGAAAGCGUGGGGAUCAAACAGG
rnacentral:rRNA from 1 species